rnacentral:rRNA from 1 species
GAACGCUAGCGGCAGGCCUAAUACAUGCAAGUCGACGGGAUCCGUCGGAGAGCUUGCUCGAAGACGGUGAGAGUGGCGCACGGGUGCGUAACGCGUGAGCAACCUACCUCUAUCAGGGGGAUAGCCUCUCGAAAGAGAGAUUUAACACCGCAUAACAUAUCUGACCGGCAUCGGUUAGCUAUUAAAAUAUUUAUAGGAUAGAGAUGGGCUCGCGUGACAUUAGCUAGUUGGUAGGGUAACGGCUUACCAAGGCGACGAUGUCUAGGGGCUCUGAGAGGAGAAUCCCCCACACUGGUACUGAGACACGGACCGGACUCCUACGGGAGGCAGCAGUAAGGAAUAUUGGUCAAUGGGCGGAAGCCUGAACCAGCCAUGCCGCGUGCAGGAUGACUGCCCUAUGGGUUGUAAACUGCUUUUGUCCAGGAAUAAACCUAGAUACGUGUAUCUAGCUGAAUGUACUGGAAGAAUAAGGAUCGGCUAACUCCGUG